AAAAAUUGGCAUGUCGCCCAUUGCUGAAUGACCCUAUUGGCCAAAACUUGUAGGUGCUCCAAAGAAGUAAUUGGGUCUUCCCACCCACAAGUACUGCCGAUUACUGCCUUUCCCCCUUGUUUUCCACAGGGAUCUGCUGAUUUGUGCUGGCAUUUCUUGCCUCUUGUAUGCAUAAGAAGUUGGAAUCAUGGCCAGAGGAGGAAGUACAGGCCAAAGUGGAAGAAAUGCUCCACACUUUAGCCCCUUUUGAGCUUGCUUAUUUGCAAAGGCGAACAAAGCAAAAAGUUUACAGGUCGGGGUUGUUCCUUACUGCAGGGCUGAGAGAGGUCUGUGGAUUUCAGACAGCAGCAUGAGACCCGAGGUCUGGAGGUGCAUCCUGAUCCUGGCUGAGGUUGGUCAACCUGGGCAGGGGUCAGUCAAAUCCCCAAGAACCCCCUAGAGCCCCAGCAGGGGUUGGAGGGCCUGAGGUAUACCGGUCUUUGUUCCUGCAAUGAUCCACUCAGGAUAUUUCUCCCUUGUGGAUUCCUCAACCACCAUCUAACAAACGGCUCUGGAGGCCCUUUCACCCCAUCCAGCUCGUUGGCUGCCAAGCCCCAGCUCACCCACAGGUCCCUGUCGAGAAGCAGCGGUGGAGCAUGGAGUGGGGCCCAGGUGAGUGGGCCAAGGCAGGCAUGACUGGUGGCCAUGAGGAGCCCAACAUGCAGGCACCUCAGGCCAGGGCCCAGGCCAGCCAAUCCACGCCCACCUGUCACCCUGCAGCAGCCAGGCCUGGGCCUAUACUAACACCUGCUGCAGAAGCCAGCUCCAUGCAGUGCUGCAGCCCCAUCCCAGGACCUCCCCCUCCACCUCUGACCUACCCUGAGGAAAUGGACGAUGGCAGAGAUGAAUGGAAGUUGGGACCCCAGAGUUGACCCACAGUAUUAGUGCGUUUCCAAGCCCUCAUUAGCAUAAGUUUGGGCCAAUAGCAGUGACCCAAGUGCUCUAUAAAGCCCCAGAGGGACUCACUCUCUGGGGGAAGCUUGCUGAAGGUCCUCCAUUGCCCGGCAGGGAUUCUUUCUGUUGUUUUAAUGACUCCUGCUCUUCUGUUCUGAUUUUGGUCUAUGGACUUUAUUUUUUUUAACUCAUCAGACAAGAACCUUGAAAGAACAAGUUGUGGGUGAGCUGGGGUUUGGUGCAACACUGGAAGCAGAGUCUGCCACCCAGAGCUGACGUACAUUUUGACUGUUGAGGGCUGCAACUUGUGCAGACCCCCACCAGUGAGCAGCGAGGGGAGUCGAGCUUCACCAGGUUUCACUGUGUCGGAGCUGGGCCUGUUUUGUCCCAGGGCUACCUCUGAGGCAGCACGCAAGA
rnacentral:lncRNA from 1 species